GAGAUUCCCCCAGUAGCGGCGAGCGAACGGGGAGCAGCCCAGAGUCUGAAUCAGCUUGUGUGUUAGUGGAACGGUCUGGAAAGUCCGACGGUACAGGGUGAUAGUCCCGUACACCAAAAUGCACAGGCUGUGAACUCGAAGAGUAGGGCGGGACACGUGGUAUCCUGUCUGAAUAUGGGGGGACCAUCCUCCAAGGCUAAAUACUCCUGACUGACCGAUAGUGAACCAGUACCGUGAGGGAAAGGCGAAAAGAACCCCGGCGAGGGGAGUGAAAAAGAACCUGAAACCGUGUACGUACAAGCAGUGGGAGCACCUUCGGGUGUGACUGCGUACCUUUUGUAUAAUGGGUCAGCGACUUAUAUUCUGUAGCAAGGUUAACCGUAUAGGGGAGCCGCAGGGAAACCGAGUCUUAACUGGGCGUUAAGUUGCAGGGUAUAGACCCGAAACCCGGUGAUCUAGCCAUGGGCAGGUUGAAGGUUGGGUAACACUAACUGGAGGACCGAACCGACUAAUGUUGAAAAAUUAGCGGAUGACUUGUGGCUGGGGGUGAAAGGCCAAUCAAACCGGGAGAUAGCUGGUUCUCCCCGAAAGCUAUUUAGGUAGCGCCUCGUGAACUCAUCUUCGGGGGUAGAGCACUGUUUCGGCUAGGGGGUCAUCCCGACUUACCAACCCGAUGCAAACUACGAAUACCGAAGAAUGUUAUCACGGGAGACACACGGCGGGUGCUAACGUCCGUCGUGAAGAGGGAAACAACCCAGACCGCCAGCUAAGGUCCCAAAGUCAUGGUUAAGUGGGAAACGAUGUGGGAAGGCACAGACAGCCAGGAUGUUGGCUUAGAAGCAGCCAUCAUUUAAAGAAAGCGUAAUAGCUCACUGGUCGAGUCGGCCUGCGCGGAAGAUGUAACGGGGCUAAACCAUGCACCGAAGCUGCGGCAGCGACACUAUGUGUUGUUGGGUAGGGGAGCGUUCUGUAAGCCUGCGAAGGUGUGCUGUGAGGGUUGCUGGAGGUAUCAGAAGUGCGAAUGCUGACAUAAGUAACGAUAAAGCGGGUGAAAAGCCCGCUCGCCGGAAGACCAAGGGUUCCUGUCCAACGUUAAUCGGGGCAGGGUGAGUCGACCCCUAAGGCGAGGCCGAAAGGCGUAGUCGAUGGGAAACAGGUUAAUAUUCCUGUACUUGGUGUUACUGCGAAGGGGGGACGGAGAAGGCUAUGUUAGCCGGGCGACGGUUGUCCCGGUUUAAGCAUGUAGGCUGGUUGUCCAGGCAAAUCCGGAUAAUCAAGGCUGAGGUGUGAUGACGAGGCACUACGGUGCUGAAGUAACAAAUGCCCUGCUUCCAGGAAAAGCCUCUAAGCAUCAGGUAACAUCAAAUCGUACCCCAAACCG
rnacentral:rRNA from 1 species